CUACGGGCCGCUGCAGUGGGGAAUAUUGGACAAUGGGGGAAACCCUGAUCCAGCAAUGCCGCGUGUGUGAAGAAGGCCUUCGGGUUGUAAAGCACUUUCAGUAGGGAAGAAAGGCUCAAGGCUAAUAACCUUGAGAGUUGACGUUACCUACAGAAGAAGCACUGGCUAACUCUGUGCCAGCAGCCGCGGUAAUACAGAGAGUGCAAGCGUUAAUCGGAAUUACUGGGCGUAAAGCGCACGUAGGUGGAUAUUUUAGUCGGAUGUGAAAGCCCUAGGCUUAACCUAGGAAUUGCACUCGAUACUGGGUAUCUAGAGUAUAGUAGAGGGAAGUGGAAUUUCCGGUGUAGCGGUGAAAUGCGUAGAUAUCGGAAAGAACACCAGUGGCGAAGGCGGCUUCCUGGACUAAUACUGACACUGAGGUGCGAAAGCGUGGGGAGCAAACAGGAUUAGAUACCCCCGUAGUC
rnacentral:rRNA from 1 species